rnacentral:piRNA from 1 species
UUCAAAAUUGCAAAACAAAUC